rnacentral:rRNA from 1 species
ACGCACGCUCUGGCGCCGGCGGGAUCUCCGGAUGGCGGUCUGUAUUUCGUGUCUGUUUUCUCCUCACCCAAUCUUGAUGCGGAGGAUAGCCCUUCUCUUGCCUAGCCAGAAAGCACUCUGCGCUCUGCGAGUGGCUUCGACUCGUUCGAGGGCCGCACUCAAUGCAGCAGUCACAUCGCUCACAAUGUGAACUCAUUGAGAGCAGAGGCAGUGCAGCAGCCGCUGCCAGUGCUUAGUCACGCAAACUUUCUUUGCAUCUGAAAUCAAGCAGGACCACCCGCUGAACUUAAGCAUAUCAAUAAGCGGAGGA